rnacentral:rRNA from 1 species
UGGUCGACCUGCAGGCGGCCGCGAAUUCACUAGUGAUUAGAGUUUGAGCGUGGCUCAGAAUGAACGCUCUCUACGUGCUUUACACAUGCAGUCAGCGAGGCGGGUAGCAUACCCAGUCGAGCGCGAACGGGUGAGUAACGCGUGGAUUAUCUGCCCUGAGGUGGGGGAUAACCCGGGGAAACUCGGGCUAAUACCGCAUAUGACCGUGAGGUCAAAGGGGGGUCGCAAGAUCUCUCGCCAUAGGAGGAGUCCGCGUCCGAUUAGCUAGUUGGUAGGGUAAUGGCCUACCAAGGCGACGAUCGGUAGCCGGCCUGAGAGGGUGAUCGGCCACACUGGAACUGAGACACGGUCCAGACUCCUACGGGAGGCAGCAGUGGGGAAUUUUGCGCAAUGGGCUAACGCCUGACGCAGCAACGCCGCUGGAGGAUGAAGGUCCUUGGAUUGUAAACUCUGCAGCAAAAGCGAAUCGGGCUAAUACAGUUGAUUGACCUGCA